rnacentral:rRNA from 1 species
CAAUAGCGUAUAUUAAAGUUGUUGCAGUUAAAAAGCUCGUAGUCGGAUUUCGGGUCGGGCCGAGCGGUCUGCCGAUGGGUAUGCACUGUUUUGGCGCGGCCUUCUUUCCGGAGACCGCGGCUACUCUUAACUGAGCGGGCGUGGGAGACGGAUCGUUUACUUUGAAAAAUUAGAGUGUUCAAAGCGGGCUUACGCUUGAAUAUUUCAGCAUGGAAUAACACUAUAGGACUCCUGUCCUAUUUCGUUGGUCUCGGGACGGGAGUAAUGAUUAAGAGGAACAGUUGGGGGGCAUUCGUAUUUCAUUGUCAGAGGUGAAAUUCUUGGAUUUAUGAAAGACGAACUUCUGCGAAAGCAUUUGCCAAGGAUGUUUUCAUUAAUCAAGAACGAAAGUUGGGGGCUCGAAGACGAUCAGAUACCG